UUCAAGCCAGGGAUGGCUUCAAUCCUGGAGGCCGCGCUGUCAGUUCCGGUCGGAGUCUGUGGCCUGGAGUGAGCACUAAUGGUUCUUUUUCCAGGCCCGCCCAUGGCCACCCAUGGACCAAUCAGCAUGCACUUCCUCCCUUCUGAACCCAUAAAAACCCCGCUCCCCGGACGCAGCCGGAGUCACGCGAAGUCGGAAGUACCAGCUGCGGGAAGGAGCUGCCCACUGUGCGUCUUCUCAACUUGUUGGGACAACCUUCCUGCGGAAAGGAGAGACAACCUUCCUGCAGAAAGGAGCUACCUGCUUCAGGUCUACUGAGAGCUGUUCUGCCACUCAAUAAAGCUCUUCUCCAUCUUGCUAAGCCUCCAUUUGUCCGCAAUACCUCAUCUCCCUGGACGCAGGACAAGAACUCAGGACCCGCCUGGAGGUGCCCACAGCAGAAUCCACAUGCCGUCCAUCUGGUCCAGCCUCACGCAGAGCCACAACUGUGCUGGCGCCUGGAGCUGCCAGCCCCACUGCAGCAGCCGGACUGACAUUCAGACGUGGAGCAAGUUGGACUGCAUAGGGACCCACCAGUGAGAUGGACGCUGUCUGUAAACGGUUCUCCAGGGAGGCUGCUCUGCCAAGUCUGGUAUUUCAUGAAUAGAUCUGAAAACAGACAUUAUCUCUUCUCCCAGUGAAGAGAGAGCGAUGAAGCCUCAGGACAAAAGGAGGCAGUGGGAUGAUGCCACCAAGGGACCAUUCUGAAGAGCCAUCAGCAAAAAGCAGCCACACCUGCUUAUGUGGCUCUGGGACAAAUGAUCUGAGCCGUGACGUGGAACUUAGAUGCAGUAAAGUCCAUUGUAUUGAGCCUUCUCUGGCACUCCUCCCAAAACAGAGAGACAACAGUUCUGUUAUGUUUUGUUUGGUUUGGUCUCCCUCAACUCAUCAAUGAGCCUUUUUAAAAAGAAUAAUUCGGUACUUUCUUUAAAGGUGGUAGAAUUGGCUCUUACUCUAGUCUGUUUUCUCCUUCCUAAGGGAGGAGCAUCCUUCUUGUUAACACAGAACCCCAAACUAUCUGAUCAGAAAGAAAAUAAUUCAAUCUGCUGUUUGAAUUGACUUCCAGCAGCGUCUUAAAUUUUAAUUGGCCCCCGGCCUAAAACAACCUCAAACUGUAUGUCUUCCAUACUCCUCUCACCACCACCAUCACCACUGCCCCUACAACCACUCUAAGCAUAGUACAUAUGGUGAACAUACCAUGAUAUUGAAUGCUAUUCUCACUCUGCCUUCUCUUAAUCUGAUCUUACUCAGGUUCUGACAGUUGACGCUGAAAACAUUUUUUGUUGUUGUUGUGGUUGAGACAGAGUUUCGCACUUGUUGCCCAGGCUGGA
rnacentral:lncRNA from 1 species